UUGACCUCGAAUCAGGUAGGAAUACCC
rnacentral:rRNA from 5 species